CCAAAAGAGCUAGUCAAUGCGAUUACUUCAAAAUUGAAAUAUCGGAAUACUAGCGUAGA
rfam:Lactobacillus pasteurii DSM 23907 = CRBIP 24.76, type strain:CRBIP 24.76, WGS project CAKD01000000 data, contig: 2